rnacentral:tRNA from 1 species
GCCGAUGUGGUGAAAUUGGUAGACACGCAGCGUUCAGGGCGCUGUCCCGUUUACGGGAUGAGAGUUCGAGUCUCUCCAUCGGCACCA